GACGAACGCUGGCGGCGUGCUUAACACAUGCAAGUCGAACGAUGAAGCCUAGCUUGCUAGGUGGAUUAGUGGCGAACGGGUGAGUAAUACGUGAGUAACCUACCUUUAACUCUGGGAUAAGCCUGGGAAACUGGGUCUAAUACCGGAUACGACCAAUCUCCGCAUGGGGUGUGGGUGGAAAGCGUUAUGUAGUGGUUAUAGAUGGGCUCACGGCCUAUCAGCUUGUUGGUGAGGUAACGGCUCACCAAGGCGACGACGGGUAGCCGGCCUGAGAGGGUGACCGGCCACACUGGGACUGAGACACGGCCCAGACUCCUACGGGAGGCAGCAGUGGGGAAUAUUGCACAAUGGGCGCAAGCCUGAUGCAGCGACGCCGCGUGAGGGAUGACGGCCUUCGGGUUGUAAACCUCUGUUAGCAGGGAAGAAGAGAAAUUGACGGUACCUGCAGAGAAAGCGCCGGCUAACUACGUG
rnacentral:rRNA from 1 species